rnacentral:rRNA from 1 species
CCUAACGGGAGGCAGCAGUGGGGAAUAUUGGACAAUGGGCGAAAGCCUGAUCCAGCCAUGCCGCGUGUGUGAAGAAGGCCUUCGGGUUGUAAAGCACUUUCAGUGGGGAAGAAAGCCUUGGGGCUAAUACCCUCGAGGAAGGACAUCACCCACAGAAGAAGCACCGGCUAACUCCGUGCCAGCAGCCGCGGUAAUACGGAGGGUGCGAGCGUUAAUCGGAAUUACUGGGCGUAAAGCGCGCGUAGGCGGUCUGAUAAGCCGGUUGUGAAAGCCCCGGGCUCAACCUGGGAACGGCAUCCGGAACUGUCAGGCUAGAGUGCAGGAGAGGAAGGUAGAAUUCCCGGUGUAGCGGUGAAAUGCGUAGAGAUCGGGAGGAAUACCAGUGGCGAAGGCGGCCUUCUGGACUGACACUGACGCUGAGGUGCGAAAGCGUGGGUAGCAAACAGGAUUAGAUACCCUAGUAGUC